rnacentral:misc_RNA from 1 species
CUCAACUGUAAUCCUAGGAAGCUGAAAUACCAUAAUGUUAAGAAAACCACCAAUUCAACGAAGUCAUAAUUAAACCACCAUUGGAAAAAAUACCACAUACGUGUACCAAACAAAAUAUAUCACACUAGGAGCACAUGAAAAUGCAACAGAUUUUCUUGCUACAAUACAUGGAAAAAGAAAACAUCUAAUAAGCAGACACAUUUAUAGGGAAAAGUUUCCCAUGAUUAUUGGAGUCGGAGAAAAGUUGCAUAAAUACAUACCUUAUGGCAUGAUGCAUGGCAGCAUUCUAAAAUGCAUCAGAUUAGGGUAUUCUUGUGUCAUGCAUUAAAUUAAUUAGUAUCAGUUGUACCAUGAAUAAUUUACCUUUUUUUACAUAAGCACCAUAAUCUACUUUUUCUUAUUUUAAUUUUCUAGUUUUUAAUCCUCCAAAAAGGUAAACAAUCUGACAUUUUAAUGAAAACCUCAAUCCUAUGCAUCUUUAGAGUAAGAUUAUCAUUUAGACAAUCCGGGAAAACAAUGAAUGGUGCAAACUUUGACUGUCAGAUCAUGAAGAAAAUUAACGAAAACAGC